CCUACGGGAGGCAGCAGUAGGGAAUAUUGCACAAUGGGGGAAACCCUGAUGCAGCAAAGGCGCGUGGACGAUGAAGGGGUGCGGAUUGUAAACUCCUUUUGUUAGAGAAGAUAAUGACGGUAUCUAACGAAUAAGCACGGGCUAACUCCGUGCCAGCAGCCGCGGUACUACGGAGGGUGCAGGCGUUACUCGGACUCACUGGGCGUACAGGGCGCGUAGGCGGGAUAGCAAGUCAGAUGUGAAAUCCUAUGGCUUAACCAUAGAACUGCAUUUGAAACUGUUAUUCUAGAGUAUGGGAGAGGUAGGUGGAAUUCUUGGUGUAGGGGUAAAAUGCGUAGAGAUCAGGAGGAAUACUCAUUGCGAAGGCGACCUGCUGGAACAUAACUGACGCUGAUGCGCGAAAGCGUGGGGAGCAAACAGGAUUAGAUACCCCAGUAGUC
rnacentral:rRNA from 1 species